UAGUGUCGGAGUGAAGAUGUUAAGCAAGCUGCCUGGGAAGUACGAUCGCAAGAUUGAAACUUAAAGGAAUUGGCGGGGGAGCACAGCAACGGGUGGAGCGUGCGGUUUAAUUGGAUUCAACGCCGGAAAACUCACCGGAGGCGACGGUUACAUGAAGGCCAGGCUGAUGACCUUGCCAGAUUUUCCGAGAGGUGGUGCAUGGCCGCCGUCAGUUCGUACCGUAAGGCGUUCUGUUAAGUCAGAUAACGAACGAGACCCUCAUCCUUAAUUGCUAUUGGUAACUCCGGUUAUUAAGCACAUUAAGGAGACCGCUGGCGAUAAGUCAGAGGAAGGCGAGGGCAACGGUAGGUCAGUAUGCCCUGAAUCCUCCGGGCUACACGCGCGCUACAAAGGCCAGGACAAUGGGUUUCAACACCGAAAGGUGAAGGUAAUCUCGAAACCUGGUCAUAGUUCGGAUUGAGGGUUGAAACUCACCCUCAUGAAGCUGGAAUCCGUAGUAAUCGCGGAUCAACAUCCCGCGGUGAAUAUGCCCCUGCUCCUUGCACACACCGCCCGUCAAACCAUGCGAG
rnacentral:rRNA from 1 species